CUGCGUGACGGUUUCGCGAGAGACCAGUUACCCGACCUUUUGUCAUUGUGCGUGGGAGGACGGGAGGAGCGGGAGCGGAACGGAUCGUUUCUGCCUGGGGGUCAAACCCUGGGCUGCGGGCCGAGCCGGUUCUGUGCUCUGAACGAACGACCGCGAUUGAAAACUUCGGCGGAAGUGGUAGGCUUUGUGACCUGCCCGCCGCCGGCCGUAUUCCAAAACUCUUGUGAGAAUCUGAAGUCGGACCUUUUGAAAAGAUGAAAAAAAGCA
rnacentral:misc_RNA from 1 species